rnacentral:tRNA from 1 species
GGUCCAGUAGCUCAGUUGGAUAGAGCAACUGCCUUCUAAGCAGUCGGUCGCUGGUUCGAGUCCAGCCUGGAUCG